rnacentral:rRNA from 1 species
GACGAACGCUGGCGGCGCGCCUAACACAUGCAAGUCGAACGGAGUCAAGAGGAGCUUGCUUUUCUUGACUUAGUGGCGAACGGGUGAGUAACGCGAGAGUAACCCGCCCUGGAGUGGGGGACAACAGUUGGAAACGACUGCUAAUACCGCAUAAGCCCACGGAUCUGCAUGGGUCUGCGGGAAAAGGAUUUAUUCGCGCUAGGAUGGACUCGCGUCCAAUUAGCUAGGUGGUGGGGUAACGGCCCACCAAGGCGACGAAUGGUAGCCGGACGGAGGGGCGGACCGGCCGCGUUGGGGCUACGACCCAGCCCACACUCCGACGGAGCGGAGCAGUAGGGGGUAUUGCGCGAGGAAGGAAACCCUGAUGCAGCGACGCCGCGUAGAGGAAGAAGGUUUUCGGAUUGUAAUCUCCUGUCGUAAGGGACGAUAAUGACGGUACCUAGCAAGAAAGCACCGGCUAACUACGUG